GACGAACGCUGGCGGCGUGCUUAAUACAUGCAAGUCGAACGGACAGGCCCUGCUCUUGCUGCGUGCUCGUGUGGCGAACGGGUGAGUAUAACGUGAGUAAAAUGUCCCUGACUUUGGGAUAAAUCCAGGAAAAUGGGGCUAAUAUCGGAUAGGAGCUCCUGCUGCAUGGGGGGGGUUGGAAAGUUUCGGCGGUGCGGGAUGGAAUCGAAGCUUCUCAGCUUGUUGGUGGGGUAGUGGCUGACCAAGCCUUUGACGGGUAGGCGACCUUGGAGGGUGAACGGCGACAUUGGGACUAAGGUAGGCCGCAGACGGCAACGUGCGGCAGCAGUGGGAAGUAUGGCACAAUGGGCGGAAGCCAGAUGCAGCAACGCCGCGAGCGGGAUAACGUCUUACUAGGGGUAAACCGCUGUGGCCGUUAACGAAGCGAGAGUGACGGUAAUUAGUAAAAAAGCAACGGCUAACUACGUG
rnacentral:rRNA from 1 species